rfam:Daphnia pulex DAPPTscaffold_431_Cont9534, whole genome shotgun sequence.
GGGGUUGUAACUCAGUGGUAGAGUGUUCGCUUUACAUGCGAAAAGCCCGUAGUUCAAUCCUCCGCAACUCCA